UAAAUACUACAACAUCUGUUGCACUUCAGCUCAGUUGCAUUCUAACCUUCUAGGGACAAAUUGGAAAAUAUGAAAUAUUCUCGAGCAUUACUUGGACUAUUGCCUGUGCUUGCUGCUUUUAUACAAUGUGGUUUGGCUCAUGAUCCGUUGCAGAUGGGGAUUUGUGCAAUGCGUCCCGAGUAUGGAAGAUGCGAUGGACAUACAAUGGUGUGGGCCUACGAUAAA